rnacentral:rRNA from 1 species
CCUACGGGUCGCAGCAGUGGGGAAUAUUGGACAAUGGGCGAAAGCCUGAUCCAGCCAUGCCGCGUGUGUGAAGAAGGUCUUCGGAUUGUAAAGCACUUUAAGUUGGGAGGAAGGGCAGUAAGUUAAUACCUUGCUGUUUUGACGUUACCGACAGAAUAAGCACCGGCUAACUUCGUGCCAGCAGCCGCGGUAAUACGAAGGGUGCAAGCGUUAAUCGGAAUUACUGGGCGUAAAGCGCGCGUAGGUGGUUUGGUAAGAUGGAUGUGAAAUCCCCGGGCUCAACCUGGGAACUGCAUCCAUAACUGCCUGACUAGAGUACGGUAGAGGGUGGUGGAAUUUCCUGUGUAGCGGUGAAAUGCGUAGAUAUAGGAAGGAACACCAGUGGCGAAGGCGACCACCUGGACUGAUACUGACACUGAGGUGCGAAAGCGUGGGGAGCA